GGCCAGCCCGCGCGCAUCCAAGCAGCCAAGGCCGGCGGCGCGGUUCGAGGUUACUCUCGCUUGUGCUCCGACGGCCCCUCCUCCACGAAGCGCGCGCGCGGCCGCUCCGGACCCUCUUCGCGGCGGACGCGCACCACCUGUUCGACCGAUGGCCGGACCAGCCCGCUCCGAUGCCAGAGCGCGCUCUGGACGGCCGCGCGCCGGUGCCCUCAUCAACCCCCAAAGCAGAAGCAGGGAGCCAAUCCUCUGGUUGAAUUUGUCCAUAGCAUCAUCCAUCUUGCAUUCAACUGCAUUUUUGCACGAUGGGGAAGAUGGCUGGUGCUAUGGAUAAUUUCAACCCGAUGGUUGUGCGUACCCGACUGAAAGAAGAAGCCUUGCUUGGAGUUCAGUGAGCCGGCAAUCAGUUUGAAACAGGGAGCCAGUUAUCCGGUUUAAUUUGUCCAUAGCAUCCGCGAUCCCGCCAUUCAGCUGUGAUAGCUGCUGCCCUAUUGCACGGUGCGGAAGAUAGCUGGUGCGAUGGAUAAAUUCAACCCGAUGGUUGUGCAUGCCCGGAUGAAAGAAGAAGCCUUUGCUUAAAGUUAAGUGAGCCGACAGUCAGUUUGAAGCAGGGAGUCAGCUCGUCUCGGGUACCUGGUUGAUUUUCCUAUAUCGUCAUACAACCUGUCAACAGACUUUGAUACUAAUUUUGCAGAAUGGGUAGGUUGGAUGUUGCUGUGGACGCAUUCCACUGGAUGACUUGUAUCCGAGUAACACAGGACGUAGUUCCCUUUUAGUUGCUUAAUUCAUGGUUAUUGUAUUCAUGCUGACUCUAGUUUUAAUCUGCCUUACUCUAACUGAAUAUCCUGUUAUCUAGAAAAAGAUAGUUGAAAUCUAGACCUAGAUAACUCUUCCUUGUUUUAGCAGUUUGAAGCAGCAUACAUGGUAUCAUGGUCCCAAGGACCAAGAUCUGGACAGUGCAAAGGUGAUGAAGAGGAGGAGGAUUCUAUUGGAUUGAACGAGAAAUGUAAUUGUUUUCAUGUGAUUCAUGCCAUCCAGCGUGUUUGUGCAGUGGUUCAUGUAUUUUGUUGUCUUUCAGCUUCAGUUUGCUGUGGCGAAUUCUGCUAGAAUUUGGUACAGCCAACUGUGGUCAUCUAUGGGUUUUAGUUUUGUUAAGUGUUCAUAGUUUAGAUGGUUAGAAAGCUAGUUCAUGUAUGAAAUUUGUACUGUGGUAAACUGAAAAAUUAAGGGCGGCUCCACCCAUGGUAUUGUGAUGGUCAUAAUAGCACAUCUCAAAAUUAUUGAGGGCCAGAUCUACAAAUAUUAUUUUCAAAUAGAAAAAGCUUGCAUCAGAUAUCCUCUUUUGGAAUUAUUGACACAUGAAGUAAGUGCAGUCCUGAAUGGUGUUUUUUGAGCCCCUUCUGUUUUUCCUGGGUAUUAAUCUAUGCACAACAAGAUCUUGUGUGCUGGUUGAUAAACAAAGUUUGCAUGUCAGGUAUUUGCUAGAUUUGCAUCGGCCAUUUUGCUGUCAGCCAAAUUGUUCAAGUGAGCUGGGUGAUCUUCCAAAUUAGCACAGAAAAGGAACAAUAUAUUUUUAUAACUUGCUUGUUAUCGUAAUUUUGUUGAAAGAUGUUGUAUCGGGAAGAGGUAUGCUUGUCAGUUGAACAAUUUCAUAUAGUAUAUAUGUUAAUUACCGUGAAUUGACUUCUUAUAUCCCAAUCCAUGGGCACGGCAGGUAUGAUUCUCAGUUCCUUCUGUGCAUGUUAUUUUCUAUUGCUGUUUGUUCAAUUGAUUUCAGAUUUGAAUGGAGUAAACAAGAUCUGUUAGCAAAUAUGCCCUACAUAUUGUGAAAAUUUUCAUAUAUCUUUUUCAUACAAACUAUUGCACUUUUACUUUGUAUAUAAUUGCCUUGCAUUUUCAUUUUAUAACUAACCAAAAGAAGGAAAAGGCGAUAAACUACCAGCAAAAGCGAAAGGAACUUGUUGCACAGCCAAGCAUCCCACACACAUAGAGGUGUUUUAAAAUCAUCCUCAAAAACAUAUAGUGCAGGGACUACCAUCACACCAUCAUUUUAGCUGGAGCAUCCAUCCAUGAUCCGUCGGUUGAAAGGCGUCAACCAGAUAACUACCAAGGGCAGGCUUCAUUUGCUACUUGCUCGAAUUUUUUUUACCAAAAGGCAGGCUUCAUUUGCUACAGGCUUCAUCCAUGGACAUUACUAAGGGCAGGCUUCAUUACCAAGGGAUGUUGUGCCCCUAUGCUGUAUGCUUUAAUGGAUCUUUUCACGGCAUAGUUCGGACCUCUGUUUCUAUGUGUAUGCUACUCUGCCAUUUAUUUGGUUUUAUAUUUAUAAAGUUUGGGCUUCGGCCUUUUUCUCCAGAAGAGAAGUGGAAACAAA